rnacentral:lncRNA from 1 species
GGAGUUAUUGUUUGUGUGUAGGGAUGUGUGGAUAAAAGGGAGCUGAUUUCUAGAGCCACAGGUUGAAGAUGACAGUAGAUCCUAAGGAACCUCAGUUCUAUCCCGAAAUGCGAAGGCCUUUUUACUCAACCACAAAGAAGUGGUCAGCAGAAAACUGGUCAUCCCGGCCUCUGGGGCCAUGCACAGCACUCAGGAGGAGCUACUAUUUUCCCUGCCUGUUUACAUGCGGCCUGGGGCCUUGUGGGCUAUUUGAAAAUUAGGACACGAGAAGUCCAAGCAGCACCUGAUAGACUGGGAGCUCCAUGAGGUCCGAGACAACCUGAAGACGCCCAGCUCAGCAGAGACUGGCUACGGCAAUCACUCAGUAACUAUUUGUUGAAUUGGACAUAAUAGAAGAGCUGAAGAAUUUUAAACAAGUCACCAUCAGUGCAGUGGAUUCCUCAAAGCAAACCUGGAAAUCUCGGCAUGAGUUGGAUUUAAGGCAGUACAUUUUCAGCUCCUGAAAAUUUGAACAGUUUCUCAAGAGAACAACUUGAAACAGAAAGGCAAGGAUGUAGAUGUGGUUGUAGAAGAUGAUGUCUGCGGCCACCAAACUGUCCACUGUGAAGACAAACCAUGCAUGUUUAGUAGGCAGUGGCUC